UCUCCCAAGCAGCUGGGAAUAUAGGUGUGUGCCACCACACCUGGCUAAAGUUUAUUACAUAGUUUAUUAGUCUUGACAACAGCCCUAUGACAUAGGUACAAUUAUUAUCCCCAUUUUACAGAUGAAGAAACUGAGGCUUACAGAGGUUAGGUAACUUUAACCAAGCCUAAACAGCUAGUAAGUGGUGGAAGUGAUUCAAAUCUAAGACUGUGUUACUAAAAGAGCUGUGUUCUCAAUCACUCUGCCACACGGUACAAGAGAGGUGUUAGCUAGAAUGCCUUCAGGGGCAUAAUAAUAAUUAUAGUUAAUGCUGUUGUGGAAGGCUUAUUAUAUGGUAGACCCUAUUCUAAACACUCACCUAUGUCAACUUUAGGCUCUGCAUCUCACACUCUAUAAAGAAGGUGCUAUUAUUGGGCGCAUUUUACAGUAAGGAAAGUGAGGCACAGAGAGGUCUUAAGUUCACGGAACUAAUGAAUGGUGGAGCAGGGCUACAAAUUCAGGCACUCUGACUCCAAAGAUCAUCCUCUUAGCUGCUAAGCUAUGUUAAGGUAAAAUGUUCGUUUCUGUGUGAGGAAGCCCAGUCCACUUCGAGAGUCAGCUUUCUUUGUUAGAAAGUUGUGCCUGCAGCUCUAAUAGACUUCUCAGAAGCAAACAGAAGGGUUCAAGAGUCCAGCUGACAGCAGAGGCUCUUGCUCAAUCCUUUCCCAGAAUGCUUGUCUCCAUUACCCUUUAACCUGCAUCUUUGAACAAAUUGAUAUAUGGGGAGUUCAGCAAUGGCAGAUCUCAGCUGUGCCUUUAAUGUUUGAUAUGUCUGCUAGCACACCAUGUUUUUCAUUGGAUCUAAAGGAGAUCUAAUGAGAGAUCAUUUCCUAGUAACACAUUGUCUGCUUUCAACAUCACUAGGAAAGCACUUUGCUGCAAACAAUCCCUAUGUUGGUUUAAUUGCCUUUGAAAAGGGGCACAAGAGGGAGCAUCAACUCUUCAGAGUUUGGGUCUGAUUUCCUGAGGUGUUCCAUUUCAGAAGAGGCCCCUGACAACAGGCAGAGAAUAAAAACAAGUGUGGUCUAGGGCAGACAGUGUUUUUCAAACAGUUGGCCAAAUCUCUCCUGGCAGCCGGGAAGCAGCUGAAUCAUCAAACACUAGGCCUCUAACGAGAUGGAGGCUGGGCUGUAUUGAAGUGCAUUCCAGACUGACUGUGAAACCCAGAGCUGCUGCUGCUUUCCCAAUGCUGGCUCCCUUCCAAGGGGCUGGCCCAGCUGAGCUGCUUGUCAAAGCUUCAUUUUGUCUCUUCUCUCUCUUUUUUUCCUCCUCUUUGUGAUUUCCCAUGUAGCAUUUGCCUGCCCUUGGAUAGAAUAUUUGGAUGAAUUUUGGGGUCACCUCAGGUACAGCCUCUGCUCUGCAAGCUAAAGUUCAUGAACUGUGUUUACCUGUUGGAAAGUCAGAAUGGCAGAGGGGAAAGGCACUAAGCUAGAGCACUCGGGGAAUGGACAAGUGGACAGACAUUCUUUUCUGAGAGGCAGGAAUGACCUAGACAUUCCGAAAUUGAAAGCCAGAUGUUGGGAUAAAACUCUAGACUCAAUUUGAAUCGUAGGAGUGUUGACAACCUUGAUGAAAUCCUAUGACUAAAACUUUCUAGAGUAGAGGGGAAUUAAUGGGGCCUAAGUAGGGUAACCCACCUUGAAAAUAACCAGAUCCCUCUAUUUAUAUCAGAAACAAAUGUUUGGACUCUUUAAGUGCCAUGGUCUGAAUGUUUGUGUCUCCCCCAAAAUUCAUAUAUUGAAACCUAAUCCCCAACGUGGUGGUAAUUGAAGGCAGAGCCUUUAGGUGGUAAUUAGGUCAUGAGGGCAGAGCCCUCAUGAAUGGGAUUAGUGCCCUUAUAAAAGAGGGCAGAGGGAGCUUGUUUGGCCCUUCAGCCAUGUGAAGACGCAGCAAGAAAGUGCCAUCCAUGAAGCAGAGAGUGAGACCCCAUCAGACACUGAGUCUGCUGAUGCCUUGAUCUGGGACUUCCCAGCCUUCAGAACUAUCUGGCACAUUUCAGAAGUUGCUGACGUGUUGAUGCCUGCUAAAACACAACGUGGGAAGAAGAAUGAAUGUGGGCAAGCUCGGCUAGCCACUCAGAGGGAAAUGAUCUCAUUUCUCCUGCUGGGCAACCCCCAGUUGCUGCUACUCAGUCCUUCUUGAAGUCCAUUUUCGUAAACACUUUGCUGAUCAAGAAGUGUCUGAAGAUGGGAAGACGGAGAAAGCUUGUAUUGUUUACUGAGUAUCAGAGGACACUUCCUUCAAGUGACCUAAGGCAUGUGUGAGUGCUAUCCUACGAGCCACAUUCUAAAGGAGUGAAGUCAUCACGAACACUGCCUUAGAAGAGUGAGUUAGUGCCAAAGACUAUCCUCAACAGCAUUUACAGACUCACUUUUCUAAAAAUCCAGAGAUUUUUUUUAACAUAUAAAUCAAGAAUGAACAAGGCAAAUGUUCAGCAAUUCACUUCCAUGCAUUACUCCCCUUCUCCUUGGAACUCAAUUUCUUAGCCAGGUUGCUUUUUGGGGCUAAAAGAAAGGAAAACAGAGAUGGAGACAGACAGGGCCAAGAAGCCAAUAAAGAGAUGAGCUGCACAAAGCUAUAAUAAUCAGUAAACCUAAGCAGGAAAAAGCUGAGAGGAAGGAAAGUUACUUAAAAUCAGAGAAUGCGGGGAGGGAGAAAAAUUGCUUAAAAUUAGUUUACAGAAAAAGAAAAUUAAUCUCCAUUUUACUGUUGAAUGACCUUUAGUCUGGAAUUAGAAUUCUAUAAAGUCUAAACAAAGAGCCACAUUUAAUUCCCUGGGAAACUCCAAUUUUAACUUGGCUUUAAUAAUAAAAAUUUUUGUGUGCAAAUUCCGAAAGCAGCACACACAAAGAAAUUAAAGAAUACAAAAACCUGUCCUAGGUAAUCAUGGAAAUCUUACGUAAAGAGAAAAUGAAAAUCUUUUCAUGCAAUUGCACUUUACUCGAAAAUUCUACUAAUCCUGACCUUUCAGGUUUUGUGAAGUGCCAAAUGCAAAUUAAAUGAAAAUGAAAUCACAAUACAUUGGAUUUUAGAGAAAGGAAAUGGCUAAUCAUGAAUGCUUUUUUUUUUGGCAAGAACUGUUCAGGUGAAUAUUAUGCUUAGUAAUUGUUCAGGCAAGAAAGUGGGUAGAAAUAAGCUUUCUCUCCUACCAUGAGGCUGGAUGCAUGCUUUGUUCUCUGAGGGAAAGAUCUCUACACAUUGAAUAAAGGCGAAGUACUUACACUGGACUUUAGCGAGAGUCUGACCCACAGAAUUCCUUUCCUUUGUGGGAAAUAGGGGCAAUUCUCAGCAUGGGAAGUACACACACACACACACACACACACACACACACAUACACACACACACACACACACACACACACACAGACACAUCGCGCCCACUCUUUCCUUGCCUGCGCCUUUUGUCUCCAAACCUAAGGGACCACACACCAUCUCCAUUUUAUAGGCCCCUGUUUGACACUCUUAGGCAUUUCAAAUUUAUCCUGCCCAAGCCUAUAUUUAACAUUCUAGAUUAAAAUCAGAGAAUGUUAAAGCUGAAAGUUACCUUAUAUACACAUAGGUCGGCCAGUCAGUCAGCUCUUGCAAUAUUAAGGCCAUUUAAAUAAUUUAAUUGGCAAAUUAAAUUUCCUUGCUUUUUUCGGAAAAAAAAUAUAUUAUGUAAAGUUAGGUUAGCCUCUACAAAAGUAUUUGUGCUUUAGCUGUAAUCUGGCCAAUGAUUUUAGUGAUCAUUUAUGAAAAUAUAUCAUUCAUUCUAAGUCCUGUUAGGCAUUUAGAGGUGAAUUGAAAAUACUUAUUUCUGAAUUUGUUCCUCCUCUAUUUCUUAGGAUCACCUCUACCUCCCAUGCACAUUAACCUGGGAAAGAGACAGAAAAAAUCAGAAAAAAAAGAUGUUAGGAGAAGCUGAACAGACUGAAAUUCUCCAGAAUGAGAGUGAAAGGAGCUGAAAUGCCUUUGAAAUAUUAUUUCUCAGCAAACAAAAAUCACAGAAUAGAUGCUGCAGACUUGAAAAUGGAUAAACACUGUUUGUGCCUACAUCUUUAUCUCUUUGCAAUCACCUCAAGAUUGAAUUGUACUGUACACUAUGGAUGUCUAGUUGUGCUUCAGUUAUAGUACAUUUCCUUUGAUGCCAACUUCCCUAAUGUCAGGAUUUUUCCCAGAUUAAGAGUGAGAACUGGGAUUGAGCCAAACAACAACACAGAAUCCAUAAUCUUCAAUACAGUUCAAGGUUGUUUCUAGGGAUUAAAGAGUAGAAAAACACACCAAUGCAAUAUAGGGCAAAACAAAAUAUAGUGAUAUCUCACCCUAUCACCUAGCACACAGUCAUAUACAGAAAGGCUUAUAAUUUAUCUUGGUAGUAAAAAAUGUGUUACCUUAAGCCCUCUAUAGUUAGAUGAUUGCGUGAAAGGUAAAAAAGCAGAUUAGAAGGGAUGCAUCCAGGCAUAAAAAAGGAAUGCUGAUAGUAGAAGAGGAAAAUGUGAAAUACCCAGGGUCCAAGCUUAGUACACUAUGGUUAAUUAGUGGUGAGGAGCAAGAGCUAGUUAGUCCACAGGAGUCUCAGGGAUAGUGAGACCCCCAUCUCUAUAACAAAAAAA
rnacentral:lncRNA from 1 species